rnacentral:rRNA from 1 species
UGAAGCGAUUCGGUCAAUUCUUGUUAUACUUAGUGGCGGACGGGUGAGUAACGCGUGGGUAACCUGCCGUAUGCAGGGGGACGAACAGUGGAAACGACUGCUAAUACCGCAUAAGCGCACAGUACCGCAUGGUAUAGUGUGAAAAGAUCUAUCGGCAUACGAUGGACCCGCGUCUGAUUAGCUAGUUGGUGAGGUGACGGCCCACCAAGGCGACGAUCAGUAGCCGGCCUGAGAGGGUGAACGGCCACAUUGGGACUGAGACACGGCCCAAACUCCUACGGGAGGCAGCAGUGGGGAAUAUUGGACAAUGGGCGAGAGCCUGAACCAGCCAAGUAGCGUGCAAGGACGACUGCCCUAUGGGUUGUAAACUGCCUUUAUGCGGGAAUAAAGUCAGGUACGUGUACCUGUUUGUAUGUACCGCAUGAAUAAGGACCGGCUAAUUCCGUGCCAGCAGCGGC